UAAAUAUAAAGCAUGGUAUUUAUUUGUUCU
rnacentral:piRNA from 1 species